GAUCAUGGCUCAGGAUGAACGCUAGCUACAGGCUUAACACAUGCAAGUCGAGGGGCAGCAUGGUCUUAGCUUGCUAAGGCCGAUGGCGACCGGCGCACGGGUGAGUAACGCGUAUCCAACCUGCCUUACACGUCUUGGACAGCCUUCUGAAAAGGGAGAUUAAUACAAGAUGUUAUCAUGAGUAAGCAUUUUCGCAUGAUUAAAGGUUUACCCGGUGUAAGAUGGGGAUGCG
rnacentral:rRNA from 1 species